UACGUAGGGGGCUAGCGUUGUCCGGAAUCAUUGGGCGUAAAGAGCGUGUAGGCGGUCCGGUAAGUCCGUUGUGAAAGUCAGGGGCUCAACCCUUGAAUGCCGGCGGAUACUGUCGGGCUAGAGUCCGGAAGAGGCAAGUGGAAUUCCCGGUGUAGCGGUGAAAUGCGCAGAUAUCGGGAGGAACACCGAUGGCGAAGGCAAUCCCCUGGGCCUGCACUGACGCUCAUGCACGAAAGCGUGGGGAGCAAACAGG
rnacentral:rRNA from 1 species